UAGGUGUAGGAGGUAUCGACCCCUUCUGUGCCGCAGUUAACACAAUAAGCAUUCCGCCUGGGGAGUACGGUCGCAAGAUUAAAACUCAAAGGAAUUGACGGGGGCCCGCACAAGCAGCGGAGCAUGUGGUUUAAUUCGACGCAACGCGAAGAACCUUACCAGGUCUUGACAUCCAGUUAAAGCUGUUGAAAGAUAGUGUCCCUUCGGGGGAACUGAGACAGGUGGUGCAUGGUUGUCGUCAGCUCGUGUCGUGAGAUGUUGGGUUAAGUCCCGCAACGAGCGCAACCCUUAUUGAUAGUUACUAACGCGUAGAGGCGAGGACUCUAUUGAGACUGCCGGGGACAACUCGGAGGAAGGUGGGGACGACGUCAAAUCAUCAUGCCCCUUAUGACCUGGGCUACACACGUGCUACAAUGGCCGAUACAGAGAGAAGCGAAAGCGCGAGCCGGAGCGGAUCUCACAAAAGCGGUCGAAGUUCGGAUUGUGGGCUGCAACCCGCCCACAUGAAGUCGGAGUUG
rnacentral:rRNA from 1 species